GCAUGCUUUUACUUUUAGUGUUUUUUUUCUUUCUUCCAUAGAACCCUCUCAAAUUUUCUCUCAUUUGUUUACCAUCCAAUCACCAUCAAAAUUUCUUCUUUCUUCUAUCAAAUUAUACACUAAAUCUUUCUUCUUUCUUUCGUCAAAAACCUCUUAAAUUUUCUCUCAUUUUCUUGCCAUCCAAUCACCACCAAAAUUUCUUCUUUCUUUCUUCUGUCAAAUUAUACACUUAUCUUUCUUCUGUCAAAAACUCCAAAAAUUUUCCCUCAAUUUCUCACCAUCUAAUCACCAUGAAAAUUUCUUCUUUCCUUUUUUUUUUCUAUCAAGACCCCCCAAAAUUUUC
rnacentral:lncRNA from 1 species